UACGUAGGGUGCGAGCGUUGUCCGGAAUUAUUGGGCGUAAAGAGCUUGUAGGCGGUUUGUCGCGUCUGCUGUGAAAAUCCGGGGCUCAACCCCGGACUUGCAGUGGGUACGGGCAGGCUAGAGUGUGGUAGGGGAGACUGGAAUUCCUGGUGUAGCGGUGGAAUGCGCAGAUAUCAGGAGGAACACCGAUGGCGAAGGCAGGUCUCUGGGCCACUAUUGACGCUGAGAAGCGAAAGCAUGGGGAGCGAACAGG
rnacentral:rRNA from 1 species